rfam:Roseovarius aestuarii strain CECT 7745 genome assembly, contig: 0015
AUGACGGAUGCCAAGAUCCCCGAUGCGCAGGCCGGAUACGAGAAGGGUUACACCAUCGCCCUGGCGGCGCAGGCCGGGGCGGAUAUGAUCAAUCUAAGCGUUG